UCUGGAGACUAUAGCGGUGGGGAAACACCUCUUCCCAUUCCGAACAGAGAAGUUAAGCCCACCAGCGCCAAUGGUACUGCCCCGGUAACGGGGUGGGAGAGUAGGUCGUCGCCAGGG
rnacentral:rRNA from 1 species